GUAGCAACAUUCACCGGACAGCGUGGUAUAAGAAACAUGCCUUUAGGAUUAUAGGGUGAUAAAUAAUUUUAAAAAUGUAAGAUUUUCUGAAAAAAAUGUGGAGAAGUGAAAAAUGGGUUCAUAUUUUGGUGUAAAAAAUGUUUUCUUCGUUGUAAAAUAAUAUUUUAAUGUAAAUAUAUGAUUGAAAAACAUUGCACAAAAAGUGCGAAAUUUAAUCAAGUUGGCUAUAUCGUUCUCUAUUAUUCAGCAGCCUUAUGAAAUUAACGUUAGAUGUCUCAUAUAUUCGUUAAUUUUUCGUUAAAUGAUUAAAACGGACGUGUAUUCGUAGCAUUUUCACGACGCCAUUUUAUAUUAGUUCUUUGAUGUGUGAAUUUCAAUUAAUGCUGUUUGAGUGAAUAAAUUUUCUUUCAUUUCAAAUAAGCAAAUAUCUAUUCAGAAGCAGACAAAAAAAAAUGAGUGGAGGUGGUAAUAAUUCUGCACGACCACCGCCAAGAAUUGAUGGAAUGAUAUCCCUUAAGGUUGAUAAUUUAACAUAUCGCACAACACCGGAGGAUUUGAGACGUGUAUUCGAACGAUGUGGUGAGGUUGGAGAUAUCUAUAUACCCCGUGAUCGAUAUACUCGUGAAAGUCGUGGUUUCGCAUUUGUUAGAUUUUAUGACAAACGUGAUGCAGAGGACGCAUUAGAGGCUAUGGAUGGCCGAAUGCUUGACGGUAGGGAGUUACGUGUACAGAUGGCUCGUUAUGGUCGUCCAACUUCUCCAACCAGACGAACAAACAACAGACGUGGUGGUGGUGGCGGUAGACGCCGUUCUCGUUCACCUGCACGCAGGCGAUCACGUAGUCCACGACGACGAUCAUAUUCGCCUCGUUCUCGAUCUCGAUCAGCAGGUAGCCGUUCACCUGCUCGUCGAAGCAAAUUUUCACGGAGUCCAGUUGGACGAAAGUCAGCGAGCCGUAGUCAAAGUCGCAAUGGUGUAGCUGGACGUAGUGUUUCACGUAGUCGUAGCCGAUCUUAAUUGAUUUCUAACCAAGUCGUGGAUUUAAUAAAUCAGAAUUUCCCAAAAUAGUGACCAGUAUGCAUUAAAUCCUUUCAUGUGUUGAUUAGCGGCGACUUCAUAUAGAAACGCAGUCUGCGUUUAAUGCUGCUAGAUCAACAGGCAAACAAAGAUUGCUGUAAGGGCUGCUGUAAAAGUGCGAAAAGUGAUUGAGGCAGAUAUUAAAAUGAAAUAUGUAAAAAAAAAAAAGUUUGGGGAGAAAUAAUGUACAAGGAGCAGGAGGCAGAGAUUCGUAAAUUGAUUGAUGGCUGCAGCGUAGCGAAUUUUAUGAAAAACGUACUCCUGUUACUCUUGUUGCUGCUACAGCCGCUGUUUGCUGUUGUUCCAGCGUAUUAUUUGUACACCACUUGAGCCGCUGCACUUAACUAUGCCUAACACUUCGAUUUUAAUUCUCUGAGACAUUUUGAGAAAAACCAAUCCAAGUGUUAAGCUCUCGUUAAUUUACUAUUCGAGUUCGCAUCCUAUAAAUGAAAACGUUGCUGUUAAUUAACAUUAAAGUUGCAGCGCCAAUUCAGUUUUAUUAAACGAAUUUCGUAAACAAAAUAUCCGGACCAAGUACAUCUUAAGCAUACUUGAUGUGUAACGGAAUCAGUCAUUUACUUUGACGGUUUGAUUGUGUACGGGCAGCAGUUGGAGCGGUGUACGGAUAGAAUAUAUUAAAUACCUGCGAUUUAGACCCAAGUUCAGCGAAAUCUCAGAUAUGGUGCAUAUGUUUGAAGGCUGUUCAGUAUAUGUAGUGCGGAAGUUUUUCAUACAUACACAAACCAGACUGGCAGG